GCCGUCCAGGCCCAGACAGCGGGGCACCUCAUUGGUACCGAGGAGACGGAGGGUGCGAUCCCCUCGGACGGCU
rnacentral:tRNA from 1 species